CUCUCUCGUCGCCGGCGGCGGCCGCUCUUCUCCGCCAUUCGUUCUCCUCCUCCGUAUCUAUCGUCGCCGCUUCCUUCAAAGUCCAAACCCUACGCCGGGCGACGGCGUCCUCCUCCCCUCACCCUUCACCACCCCCCAUGCCGCCUCCGCCUCCGCCUCCGCCUCCUCUCUUACGAAGGCGCGCCGUGGCUUCCACGGCCUCGCUGUCUGCGGCUUCCAAUGGCGCCGCCGCUUUAGGGGGACAACCGAUCGGUGCCUGCCCACGGCGUCCUCCUCUGCGCCGAGGCCGCUGUCCGCCGUCCACGACGUCUAGCCUGCGGCGUGGAUCUCCCCGCCGACGCGGUCAUCCAUGACCUCUCCGGUCGGGCGCCCAUUACGGCCGCAUCUCAAGCCGGUGGCCGUUGGCCCUUGCCGCGUCCAGUUUGAUCUGCCAACCGAUUGCCUGUUGCGGGAUUAUGGACGGUGCCAUGCUCUGUUUCUAGCUUUCUGCUGUGUGCCUGCCAAGCUUAUUAGUUCUUCGGGCCCUGCUCAAAAUUCAAUGUGCUAGGAUAUGGUUUGGCAAGUGGCGAAAAUCAUCUUGAUGCUCUCUCAGGCUACUCCAUCUUUUGGUGUUGGCAUUGUAACGUGCGAUAAGCUGAACCAUGUGCCCGAGUUCGUUUUGUCAUUGGACAAUGAAUUCAAUCUGAAAACGGUUAUUGAGACCCUUUUGGUGACUACUGAGUACUGACUAGAAGUGUUUAGGACAAGGAAAAGAGCGAGCUGUAUCACGAGACGAGGAGCUUGAUCUUCUCCCCCAUUUUGAGCAGCUAUAUCCGAACUCUUUGAACAGGAUGCUGAUUUUGUAUCUGGACAGUUGUUACCUCACUCUUUAGACUUUAUAUCCAUGUGUCUAAAAGAUUCUGAAAAUGGUAUAUACCGUGCCGAACGUUCGAAUUAUGUUUUGGCAUUGUAUUUUACUGUAUCACCUCCUUUUAUCAACUAGAACUAGAAACUUUCCUA